rnacentral:rRNA from 1 species
AGAGUUUGAUCAUGGCUCAGAACGAACGCUGGCGGCAGGCUUAACACAUGCAAGUCGAACGCGUGUAGCAAUACACGAGUGGCGCACGGGUGAGUAACGCGUGGAUAUCUGCCUUUUGGUUCGGAAUAACUCCGGGAAACUGGAGCUAAUACCGGAUGGUUCCUUCGGGAUAAAGAUUUAUCGCCAAAAGAUGAGUCCGCGUACGAUUAGCUAGUUGGUGAGGUAAUGGCUCACCAAGGCGACGAUCGUUAGCUGGUCUGAGAGGACGAUCAGCCACACUGGGACUGAGACACGGCCCAGACUCCUACGGGAGGCAGCAGUGGGGAACAUUGGACAAUGGGGGCAACCCUGAUCCAGCCAUGCCGCGUGAGUGAUGAAGGCCUUCGGGUUGUAAAGCUCUUUUGGCGGGGACGAUGAUGACGGUACCCGCAGAAUAAGCCCCGGCUAACUUCGUGCCAGCAGCCGCGGUAAU